rnacentral:lncRNA from 1 species
UUGUUGUCAUCAAUUCCAAAAUCUUCUAAAACAACCCCAAUCAAAUCAUUGUAGAUGAUAUCUUCAUGAAUCAUACAAAGAGAAGAUCUUCGUUCAUCAUCGACUAUGAAAUCCCAAUGAAUUCCAUUUAUUAGUUUUAAUUCUCCACGUAUAGAACACAUUUCAAUCAUCAUAAUCUGAUUAUAAGAAUAUGGAGAUUAGAGAAAGAAAAAAAAUAUUCAACACAAAAGUACUCAAAGCAGUAAUGAUCAACAAGAUAUAUCAAAAAACGAUAAUACAUAACACUAUGUUCCUCAAUGAUAAAUAUUUAUAAGGUUUUAUAAAUUUGAGAUUUAAAAACUUCAUGAGAAAAUUUUCGUCUUCCUUCCCAGAAACUGACGAUUUUGAGAAAUCAAGCUAAAAUUACAAAAAGAGAUAAAAAUCACCAUAUAUUAUCCUCUCA